rnacentral:rRNA from 1 species
UACGAAGGGGGCUAGCGUUGUUCGGAAUCACUGGGCGAAAAGCGCACGCAGGCGGAUCGAUAAGUCGGGGGUGAAAGCCCGGGGCUCAACCUCGGAAUUGCCUUCGAUACUGGCGGUCUCGAGUCCGGGAGAGGUGAGUGGAAUUCCUAGUGUAGAGGUGAAAUUCGUAGAGAUUAGGAAGAACACCAGUGGCGAAGGCGGCUCACUGGCCCGGUACUGACGAUCAGGUGCGAAAGCGUGGGGAGCAAACAGG